rnacentral:rRNA from 1 species
CGGACAGAUGGGAGCUUGCUCCCUGAUGUUAGCGGCGGACGGGUGAGUAACACGUGGGUAACCUGCCUGUAAGACUGGGAUAACUCCGGGAAACCGGGGCUAAUACCGGAUGGUUGUUUGAACCGCAUGGUUCAAACAUAAAAGGUGGCUUCGGCUACCACUUACAGAUGGACCCGCGGCGCAUUAGCUAGUUGGUGAGGUAACGGCUCACCAAGGCAACGAUGCGUAGCCGACCUGAGAGGGUGAUCGGCCACACUGGGACUGAGACACGGCCCAGACUCCUACGGGAGGCAGCAGUAGGGAAUCUUCCGCAAUGGACGAAAGUCUGACGGAGCAACGCCGCGUGAGUGAUGAAGGUUUUCGGAUCGUAAAGCUCUGUUGUUAGGGAAGAACAAGUACCGUUCGAAUAGGGCGGUACCUUGACGGUACCUAACCAGAAAGCCACGGCUAACUACGUGCCAGCAGCCGCGGUAAUACGUAGGUGGCAAGCGUUGUCCGGAAUUAUUGGGCGUAAAGGGCUCGCAGGCGGUUUCUUAAGUCUGAUGUGAAAGCCCCCGGCUCAACCGGGGA